CGCCCCAACUGCGGGAGGAUUCCCGUGGGCGUGACACCUGCUACAGUUGGGAGUGAUUUAGAGUCGACCUGACUUCAGAUUCCUUUAGGAUAAGCAGUGGAGUAGAUAGUUCGGGAUUAACAAGAAAAAAAAAAAAUCUAAGAGUUAAGAUUGACUGGUCCUUAAGUCUCUCCUCGAAAUAGCCUCACACAGUAUUGAUGUGUUCCAGCCUUGGCUUAGCCUCCUGUGAGACGGUUUGCUUUUUAGACAAACAAGCAGAUUUGGACUUUUCACCCUGAUAAGCAGAUGUGGAGCUUAGCCUUCAAAGAAAUACCUGCUGCGGGAAAUGACCCCAUGACCUUUUAAGACCUCUGGACAGAAACGAUUGGCUCCGGUUAACGACUGUACUCUCCCACUUCAAGGGCUGUUGACAAAGUUCGAUUCCUCGUGCACCUUUCCCAACUGCGUUUAAAUGCUCUCCAGCACAGUCUUUGGACCACGCUUUUCUCAGCCAUUUUGUGGGGAUAGCAAAGGCUGCUCGGUGCAGCCUUAUAAGCGUCAGCGUCUGACAAGGGUACAUGCCGGUUCUGGGUCAGUUCAUCCCAAGUCUGUGUCUCUCGCUGUCCCAAGUAGCCUCCAGCACCAGCUGAUUUCUUAUCAAGCCUUGUGGGACCAAGAGAAAACUCUACACGUAUUGCCCACAGAAUAUCAGGAAUGACCUCAUCCCGGGGUCUGCUUGAAGAAGGGAGAAUUGGGAGCAGCAGAAGGGAGAGGACUAUGGAGGGAUGAUUGUGAACAAAGCUUGAUGUCAUAAUGACUAUGGUAAGACUGGAAGCCAAAAGCCAUCAUGGCCUCUGCACAUCCCCCAAAUCUAAAUGUCAAAGGCUCAUGCAAACAGCACAGAUCCAUCAAAGCCUUGACUCUGUCUUGAUGUUACUGAAGCUGUUCCAUGCUUUGGAAAGACAUUUGCUAUCGGAUGUGCAGAAGAUGCCAAAAGGUUCCGGGAAUAUGCAUACCGCCUCCUGAAUCUCCUCCAGUGAUGGUGGGUGAACCAGUCCAACUGGUGGAGACCAAAAGAUGUAGGGAUACAGACAGGGAAGUGACAGUCAGCCAGCCAUCAGGGCCCUACGGUAACAAUUGCCUGCAUAACAGACCAGAACCUUACAAUCCACAGGACAGGCAGCACAUCACAGCCAAUGGCCUCCCACCUCUAAGUAGGUACUUGUGAUAGAAACAUGCUCUGUAGCUUUUAGGAAGCUUUGUUAACAUGGCAGGGUUUGGGUGACCUCUGGUCAGUUUUUCAUCUUCUUUUGGAGGGUGAAUGAUUGAAUGAUUAAUUUUUUAGACUCAAGAUGUAAGAGCAUCUUUGUCUUAGUCAGGGUUUCUAUUCCUGAACAAGCAUCGUGACCAAGAAGCAAGUUAGAGAAGAAAGGAUUUGUUCAGCUUACACUUCCAUACUGCUGUUCAUCACCAAAGGAUGCAGGACUGGAACUCAAGCAGGUCAGGAAGCAGGAGCUGAUACAGAGGCCAUGUAGGGAUGUUUCUUACUGGAUUGCUUUCCCUGGCUUGCCCAGCUUGCUUUCUUAUAGAACCAAGACUACCAGCCCAGGGAUGGCACCACCCACAAUGGGCCCUUUCAUCCUUGAUCACUAACUGAGAAAAUGCCCACAACUGGAUCUCAUGGAGGCAUUUCCUCAACUGAAGUUCCUUUCUCUGUGAUAACUCCAGCCUGUGUCAAGUUGACACACAAAACCAGCCAGUAGAAUCCUCCUAGAGAAGUGGUUGCUGGAAAUACUAACAUAACACCACCACCCAAAAAAGCAGGUGGAGUAGUAGCUUGACUUCUGCCUUAGACAUUUCUUAUUUUUCAUGACAGCAGGGCUUUCAAUCCGGUGUAUUUUCCCUGUUUGCUGUCUAAAAGUUCUGUCUUUAACACAGAAAUGAAAACUUUGUAAGGAGACAGAGAAUGCCAAAACAGCCAACCAACCAUUUUUUAUGAGUAGGACGCAGACUUUACAAAGACACCAAGUUACCGAAAGGAAGAUGAUGGCUCUGGGUCCCUCUGAAGUGGUAUGUCUGGAGGAAGGCAAUAUUAUCUUUUAGGGUAAAAGAAGUUCCCACGGAAAAGGACAAUCGUAUGCGCGCUGCAAGAUUUAAUUAAUAUUCCAGGCCUCCAGGCACUACAUGCCAGUGUUACCUCAUUACAAUAUACAUUACAGUCAUAUAUUGUAAUAAUAACAAAGAUUGCCCCAUAUUUCCACCUGUCCCCUGAAGGAACAACUUUGCAUUAAGUGGUUUACAAUCUAGCCGGGAAAUGCACCCUCACGGUGGAGGACCGAUCAGAGGAGGCUGGGAGCCACUGAAUGAGUAAAUGGGAGAUGGAGGAAGAGGACUCUUAACUGGGCCUUACAAAAUGGCCACACACAGAGAUCCUGACUGAGAAACGGUUUGUACCCAGUGGAAAAUAUAAAAUAAGGAAAAAGAAAAAAAAGUCCACCCCAAUGUUGGUUAAUUUUUGUCAACUUGACACAAACUGGAAGAGGGAACUCAGCCGAAGAACUGCCUCCAUCAGACUGGCCCAUGGGCCAGUCUGUGGAGUAUUUAACUGUCUUAUGAGAGGAGGUUUUGAUGAGAAGAGACUCGUGAUGUUUUUCUGGGGGCAGCAUGUGAAAAAGAGCAUGCGAUGUUUUACUGGAGCGGAUGCUUGAGAGAACAGGGAGAAGCACACACCAAAGAACUUCCGGUGUACCUCAAGCUUCUUGCUGCUUCCCCAGACUCAGGCCGAUUGGCAGAGCCUCUCUGCCUCUUCUAGACUGACCUGCCAUUGCUGAUUCAUGAAUGGUGUUUGCGAGUGGAUCGAGCUGCCGCUGCUGAUUCGUGUGAACUGAACUGCUGAUGUCCUGACAAUGCAGACUGGAUUUGCUCCAAAGAACUAUUUCUAAGCACGUCCUCAUCCUCCUUUCUCCUAUUAACCUUUCCUUUCCACUGCCUCUGGUGGGUGAUGGGCUAAAAGGGGAGUUGGAACAUUUAAGAACCCUUAUUAAAGUAGAUUUUGAAAAAUAUAAGCCAGCCGCUGAAGACCUAUGAAUUUUCGUCUGUGUAAAUUAUUCCCCGGUACAGAGGAACUGCGAGGACUCCUGUUCUGAAAGAACCAUUCACUUUGAGAAGCUUCUCUCAAGGUUUUCUCUGGGAGAUGGAAAACCACAGGUACCAGCUCUGAGACGUCGCCUCACAGGAAAGAAUAGACAGCAUUGCACCUAGCACAGUGACAGCUCAAAAUAUAAGGCCUUUUAAAAAUGACAACCUGUCGGGCUC
rnacentral:lncRNA from 1 species